AGCGAACGCUGGCGGCAGGCCUAACACAUGCAAGUCGAACGAACCUUUCGGGGUUAGUGGCGGACGGGUGAGUAACACGUGGGAACGUGCCUUUAGGUUCGGAAUAACUCAGGGAAACUUGUGCUAAUACCGAAUGUGCCCUUCGGGGGAAAGAUUAAUCGCCUUUAGAGGGGCCCGCGUCUGAUUAGCUAGUUGGUUGAGGUAAUGGCUCACCAAGGCGACGAUCAGUAGCUGGUCUGAGAGGAUGAUCAGCCACAUUGGGACUGAGACACGGCCCAAACUCCUACGGGAGGCAGCAGUGGGGAAUCUUGCGCAAUGGGCGAAAGCCUGACGCAGCCAUGCCGCGUGAAUGAUGAAGGUCUUAGGAUUGUAAAAUUCUUUCACCGGGGACGAUAAUGACGGUACCCGGAGAAGAAGCCCCGGCUAACUUCGUG
rnacentral:rRNA from 1 species